UUCUGAAUGUAUCUAUAUGUGCACAUUUGUAAGAGCAUGUGUGUGGGGCGGUGUAUUUGGCCUUUUUGAUGAAGGCUUACAGACUGGCAGUUCAUGGGAUUUUCACAGUAUCUGGGACCUGAGAAACGGCAUAAAGCACUGAGGAAAAAUCUCACUUCACCGGAAAAACUAGCCACAGCUGCAAUAGGGUAUUUAGGCUGUAGAGUUGGAAGGCCUGACUUCAAACUGAGAUUCUCUACAAAGUAACUUAAUCUCUCCAAGCCUCAGUUUCCUCAACUGUAAAAUAGGAAUGAUAACAAUAGCACUUAAUCCCCUGAUUUCAGGCAAAGAUUCAACGAUACAACGUACACAAUGCACUUAGUGAAUUACUUAGCAUAUAUUAAUUGCUCCCUAAAGGUUGAACUUUAUUACUGAGAGGAAUUCCUUCAAACGUGUAAAAUAUUAGGUUCUUUAAAAUCCCAGUGUGUGUAUCAUAUUCUUUCCAAUAAUUUUAUGAUUUUUUGGAUGAGGUAGAUGGGUUACUUUUGUCUUUUGAUAGGAAAAUGUGUAAUUUCUUUGAAAUAGCCUAAGUAUCUAGGGUGAUGAACUAGACAGAAUUUUAAAAUUAUAUAAUUUUAAAGCAAGACCUGAAUUAUCAUCUAAUCAUAUCCCCUUUGAUGCCAUUUUAUAGAUACAAUAAUCAAGACACAUCUUGAAAAAGGACUUGUCCAGGUCUCCAAUUUUGUGACCACAAUCCAGGAACUAAUUCUGAGCUGGUUUUACCACAGCUCUCAAAGACCUUUUCAGCCUUUUUCCUCCCCAUUUCAUCAGAUUCUCAAAGGUCUAUAAAAGAGAAGAUUGAGAAUUGCUGUCCCAUAGGGAACAUCACCAUCUAUCAGAACUCUGCUCAAAUCCCUGACUUCCUAGACCCUUUGGCUCAAAGCCAGUAUCCCCCCCCCCCCCAGAGAAUUGUGUAUCAGUCUCUCCUCACUGUUUGUCUUAGUUUUAUGAUGCGUAUCACAUUAUAUUUCUCUUUUGGUCCCAUUAGAGCAUAAACUUCUUAAAGACAGUAGAUAUGACCUUGCAUCUAAUAGAAUCUGACAAAAUAAUGUUUCACAAAGGAAAAGAUAGAAGGUACAAAGGUAUUGGAAGGGCACCUAUUUCACUGAUGAACUUGAACCUGAAAAACUCCAGAGGACUUAAGAGAAGCCCAUUGCUCAUUGCUGGCACUCUCUCCCAGAGUCAUUUGAAAACAAUAUGAAUAUAAUCAGCCUGUAAUCAGAGCCAAGAGCAUGGAAAGGUUAGAAGUGGGCUGUGAGAAAAAAUCCAAAACCCAUUCACACCUUGGGGACAGGACUCUAGAAAGACACACAGUCAAAAGAUGAAAUUCAAGCCUGAAAACAGAAUAUAUGGAAGGGAUUUGUUCAUAAGAGCGUGGUUCCUUGAUCUGGUUCCUAGAUUAAGACCCCACUGGAAAGAACAGAGCUGACAAAGUGCCAGGCUCUGUCUACACGUCUGAGAUUGGACAGGACUGCAGGAGGGGGUGAGAUCCCCAGCUUUGCAGAUGAGAAGCCAUGCGGGAAGAAGGCAGCGUGUCUCUUACUGCUGUUUCUCAGCCUGUUUUCCUUACUGCACCCCAGAUUCUGCCGUGAGAGGAAAGGCAUGGCCACACUUUCUACCAACCCAACAAUUAUCUUCAUGGAGCAAGGGCCAUUAACCUCAGCUGAAAUCAUCAUUGGCUUCCCCUGAAAGAAUGCACUAAAAAGGAGCCCAGGGCACUGUGUGUCUGAAUAGAGGACUUGUAGGUUUGACAGGCUUCUCAGAGAGGUCUGUGACUGAGAAGAGGCCAAGAUCUGCAGACAUCAGUGUCUUAAGGGAGGAUUCUCCAAACGCGCUGCACGUCCAGUGUUAAUCAGAAGAGGUUGCUGGAUGUCUGAAAAGGCAGUCAGUCUGCCUGAGAAUCCUAAAGGAGCCCAAACAGUCACUUUGCCAAAGAGAAACUCACGAAACACGAGAUAUUCGCGUGGAGCCUGACAGCACAAGAAACCCAAAUAUCGAGGACUAAGAAGC